rnacentral:rRNA from 1 species
GAUGAACGCUGGCGGCGUGCCUAAUACAUGCAAGUCGAGCGAAUGGAUUAAGAGCUUGCUCUUAUGAAGUUAGCGGCGGACGGGUGAGUAACACGUGGGUAACCUGCCCAUAAGACUGGGAUAACUCCGGGAAACCGGGGCUAAUACCGGAUAACAUUUUGAACCGCAUGGUUCGAAAUUGAAAGGCGGCUUCGGCUGUCACUGAUGGAUGGAUCUGCGUCGCAUUAGCUAGUUGGUGAGGUAACGGCUCACCAAGGCAACGAUGCGUAGCCGACCUGAGAGGGUGAUCGGCCACACUGGGACUGAGACACGGCCGAGACUCCUACGGGAGGCAGCAGUAGGGAAUCUUCCGCGAUGGACGAGAGUCUGACGGAGCAACGCCGCGUGAGUGAUGAAGGUUUUCGGGUCGUAAAACUCUGUUGUUAGGGAAGAACAAGUGCUAGUUGAAUAAGCUGGCACCUUGACGGUACCUAACCAGAAAGCCACGGCUAACUACGUGCCAGCCGCCGCCGUAA